rnacentral:rRNA from 1 species
GAUGAACGCUAGCGGCAGGCCUAAUACAUGCAAGUCGGACGGGAUCCAUUGAUAGCUUGCUAUCAAUGGUGAGAGUGGCGCACGGGUGCGUAACGCGUGAGCAACCUGCCUCCAUCAGGGGGAUAGCCUCUCGAAAGAGAGAUUAACACCGCAUAAUAUCAACAGUUCGCAUGUUCAGUUGAUUAAAUAUUUAUAGGAUGGAGAUGGGCUCGCGUGACAUUAGCUAGUUGGUAGGGUAACGGCUUACCAAGGCGACGAUGUCUAGGGGCUCUGAGAGGAGAAUCCCCCACACUGGUACUGAGACACGGACCAGAAUCCUACGGGAGGCAGCAGUAAGGAAUAUUGGGCAAUGGGCGGAAGCCUGAACCAGCCAUGCCGCGUGCAGGAUGACUGCCCUAUGGGUUGUAAACUGCUUUUGUACAGGAAUAAACCUAAAUACGAGUAUUUAGCUGAAUGUACUGGAAGAAUAAGGAUCGGCUAACUCCGUG